rnacentral:lncRNA from 1 species
GGUCUGAGGUAGAGCAGGAAGGCAACAUAAGUUCAAGUUCCUGGAGAGAGUGUCUAGAACAGAGAGCCUUGGCAUCUAGAGGGUCCAGAAAAUGGAAGACAGGAGUUCGGCAAGGUAGGUAAAGUAAGGUACAAUUUCUAGAGAUACCUCAACAGAUGUUUCUCCACAUUCGCUGCUCACCAAUUACCAGGGAUGUAGAGUUGAUAAAAGCAAUCCAUCUCAGUUUCUUUACAGACCAGCUGGAGCUCUGCAAUGUCAUGCUGGAGGCCAUUUGUAUAAAUUUUGCAACAUUUAAUGGGAGCUCAUACAUGGAGAUCUUAUACAAGGUAAGUAGUGAGACAGAUAUUGGAGAUGGUUUAGCCUGGAUGAAGAUCAGAUAUUCUUUCUUUUCUCUGAGUCUCUAAUUUCUAAUAAGACAAACUACAAAAUGAUUACAAAUAUGGGUUAAAAAUGACUUAAUAUUUUGUGUCCAAUUUGUUGUUUUCUAUCCUAUGAACGCUCUUAUGCUAUAUCUAAGACUUAAAAUACUUAAAACAUUAGAUCUUGGUCUUUAGUACACCAUGUGGGGGGACCUAUGCAGUUGCUGCCUGUAAGAUCGUACCUAAAGAAAGAAAUCAAUAACAUACAGCUGAGCAGUCAGUGGUCCAGUGCCAGGAUUUUAGCUGAGACAUGUAUUAGCCUUUCAAAAAUUCUCAGAAGUAUUUGGGGAAAAUGAAACUGGUUUACCAAUGCUCUUAAAAAUAAUUAAGCAAAAGAACAUCCUAAACUCUAGUUUAACUGAGCCGAAAAGUAAGAAAGGCAAAUAUGAAUUUGAGACAGGAAAAAUACACUGUGAUUGCAGGAGAAUAGAAAAUCCGAGGCAGCAGUUUCAUAUGACUAGCUAAAACUCUCUGUUCAAAUAGCUGCAUAAACCAUACACAAUAUUGAUAAAACUCCGGAAAACCAGGGUGAGGGCCAAGUUGGCUAAGACCAACUGGACCCAACAUGGUACAGGAUUUGAGCUAUGUUUCACCUAGGACCUCAUUAUAUGCUCAUUAACAUACUGAAUAACACAUCCACCAACACCAGGACAGUUCUGAGAACAUUCAUAUUUGGUAUAAAAAUGGAUGGCACCACAGUUCUGAGAAAUCUCUACCAUUUCCCAAAAAUCUUUACGAAUAUUCCACACCUUGGUUAAAGAAACCUGUAAAGGUAGCAGCUCCAAACUCCCUUGUGUGACUCUCUUGAUUAGGCACACACUACCCUUUGUUGAGUGUGUACUUUCACUUUGCAAUGAAUCUCUACUUUCACUGUUGUCUGACUUAUCCUUCUCACUGUGGUGUCAAAAGCUUGGAUACUGGCUGGGGUUGAAGUCCCACCAAGUUUGGGGACCUCCCCUCGCCCACCAGUAUCAAAUUCAGUCAGAGAUUUUGUUUUUUGUGUAAAUUUAUCAGCCAAUAUUCCAAAUCAAUGCUACAUUAUGAAGCAUGUCUGAAAUGGGUUAACUAAAAACCAUUCAAUUUCCAGUUAUUUUCCAUCAUGAAUGAAAAGGAAGAACUCAUGAUAUCUACCUUUAAUUGUAAGGCUCUUUUAAUUUUUAUAAAACGCUCUUAGCUUAGAGAAAGCAAAUGUCAACUGUGUUCUCUUUUGGGGUUAAGACCUUCUUAGAAUAUUCACUUUGCCUCAUGUCAUGGCCACCAUAUUAAUGAUAAACACUGGGCAAAACUAACAAGAGAAGUUUACACCAGGAAUUCUCUGCUUCAAAACAAAAGUUGUUUUGAACUAGGACUUUGAAAAUAGUAUCUUCAAACAUAAGGGCUGAACAAUAACAUUAAAAAAUAACAAGACCUUGGCAAAAUUAAUAUUAUCAAAGCACAUUACAUUUUCACUGAAAUAUAAAAAGGGUAGUAGGAACUUCUCACUUCAGUAAUAGCCAAGGAAUUUUAAUUAUAUUUUUUAUACUUGUCAAAAUGUGUCUUGGGCACCAAUUGCAGCUUUUAAAGUCCUUUUAUUAACCUUACUAUUUAAUUUUUCUUACUUACAAGUUGUAUCAAACAAAGCCCCAGAUAACUUCACUUACCUCUCUGACACUGUGCUAUUUCCCUUGUAUAGAAAGACAAAAGCUAAAUGUCUAACAAAUUAAUAACAGUAUGUGGAUAAAUGACCAUAUAAUAUUUUGAUUCUCCAUUUGUACAAUCUUUUUCUUCAAUAUUUGUGUUUUACCUUGAAUAUUGACAUUAAACUCUUGAAAGCUAUAUUUUUUAAACUAGGAUGUCAAUUAUAGUUUUUCCUCUUCUAUUCACAAAAAAUUUUAAGGCUUCCCCUGUUUUUUAAAACUUCAAUAUAUAAUUAUUCUAGUAAAUAGAAGUUUUAUUUGUUCAAGCAUACAUUUGCUGCCCAUUUUAUCUUAUUUUUUGAGCUUGCGGCAUCUUCAAUUUAUGGGCAAGUACACUUGGCACUCUCAGUUUAUUCUCUCAAUAAACAGGCUUUCAGUGACCUCAUAAUUCUGUUGGAAAGAGAUCUCAGAACUAAGUUCUUUCAUUCUGUUUUUAAGAAAGUCAUGAGCAAUUCAAAUAUAUGACUAAAGAUAUAAAUCCCAAAAAUAACUGGAAUUGUUCAUAAUUUAUUUUUUUCUGGAGAUAACAGCCUUUAAAAUCUUACCUAAAACUUCUCUUGAUGAUGAUAUAAUUAAUAAACAUUAUUAUGAAAGUUUCUUAGAGUUGAGAAGGAUUUCUAAUUAUGUGCAAAUAAUGAAAAUAUAAAGAUUGAAAAAGAUUAUAAUGGAAGAAACCUUAACUACUAGAUUAGUGAAAUACACACAGUAACUUUUCAUUCAAAUUAUAUAUAUUUUUAAAAAGGGACAACUUGUAAUGUACAUUUUUGGAUCUUUCUCUGCAAUUAUGCUAACAAGUAUCAUGCUGAGAAAGGAUUAGUCCUGAUGGACAAUCAAAGACAAUGCUUCCUUCCUGGUAAAAAGGUGAGAAAAGAUGUAGAUAACUGAGCUGCAGUUAUUAGGCAUAGCAGCAGGUGGUCCAUCUGACCAGUUAAGGAGCAAGAUCCAAGUUUGCUAAAGCAGGGAAACUGUCUAGUCACUAUUGUUGGUUCCCUGAUGCCAUCAUAUAUGUAACACCUCUGACUUGGAGGGUGAAAACCAUGUUGUACACAUCUCCCUGUCCAAUUUAGUGUUCAUUCUUCAGCUUGGCAGCCAUGACACCCGACCAGGUAAAAACUCUUAGUAGGGUGAAGCAUUUGGCACAGCAGCAGGACAUGGGCACUGGACAUGGGCACCUGCAAAGUCUGAAGGAACAGAAUACAUCCCUAAGGAGAAGAAUCAGAAACAACCUACUGUCCUGUAGUCAAAAGAGGGAGAGAGGGAUAUCAAGAUUUUAAAGGCAAACUUAAAUUGUGUUUUAUUACAGCCUCCAUAAUUGUUCUUAUAGUAGCCAAUAUAGCAAAAUGAUGGAAAAGAGAAAAUAUGCUGUUAACUUUUGAUAAUAUUGCCAUUAAUGAUUGUGAUAUAUUUUCAUACACUUUUAUAUUUCAGUUCGUGUUUUAUGCAAUGUUACCAUCUGAAAAUAUUUUUCCUAAUAUCAAAGUCUGAAACCUAAAAUCAG